AUGGAACUCAUUUCUUCCUUCAUGGCUUCAUACCAUAAAUCUGAUUCUUUACAGUUUAUGGCUUGUGAAAACGUUUCAGGAUCAUUUUUGGCUCCAACAUCAGACUCUUGCAUAUACACUAUAUAAUCACUAGGAAUUGCUGAUUUUCUAAUUCGCGUG